rnacentral:lncRNA from 1 species
GCCAAUGAAAUCAAUUCCUCCAUCUGCCCUGCAAAUCAUAAAGCCACCCGUCUAUCAUUUAAUGCUCCAUCAACGCAACGACUCUUCUAGAGGCCGGCUACGCAGUAGACGACCGCUUAUAAAUUGACCGGCCACACCACCUGUGGAAGCAACACCACAGUCAAUCUCAAAUCGCCAGCACCAAGUUGGAGAAAUCUCUUUGCCCGUUGACUCCUUUGUUGUCCGUCGCCGGUGAGCAUCAGCCCGCGUUCUCUAUGAUUUGCAUGCAUGGGAACGAGGCAAAAUGCAGACAAAUGCACACAUGGUCACUCUUCCGGCGCUUGUUGUCCGCUCGUCAGGCAUGCCAUCUCUUCUGUUCCUGAUAGACAAAUGCACACAUGGUUUUUUUAGGACCCAGCUUUGGUGUUCAGAGAACGAGGCAAAAUUCCUAUAACACGAAAACUUAACUUACCUCCUAACCCAUCCCACCUUGUCAUCAAGGGCAACAUACUUGUUUUCAUCCCUCUGAAUCUGCUCCUCCGGUGGACGAACAUCAACUAAAUCUAACAAAUCUGCAAACGCCCCGACUGGGUGGUCCUAUGUCACCUCCCGUAGAGAAUCAAGCAUCCCCGUGUGUCUGCUAAGAAAAUCUGGAUCUGGCUGGAAAUCCAAGCGCAGGGUAUCGCUCAACGGCUCAGAUCCACAACCAGCCCCCACGAGCGUCGUCGAGACCAAAGACAUGCGUGCGCGCUAGUUUAACAGAGAACCAAGAACAUGGAUGAGGGGGAGGGCGCGGGGGUCCGGCAUGCUAACCUUAUCUCCGUCUGCGAGGAACCCAUCGCCGCUCCUUCCUCUGUUCGUCGCGGGGAGCAAAUUCAGGCACGCGCUGGGGGCAGCUGUUGCGGGGGCGAUGAUGAUUCAACUAUGCGCAUCCACCGAAGGACGAGGGAGUUAAUCCAUCCCCCCGUGUGGGACCGGGCGUUUUUG